UCAAAAUAUUUCGCAAUUUUAUAUUAAUUUUUCUAAUGAACUUAACAGAAAAUAAUUGUAUUCUGAAAACUGAAACAGCCUGUAUAUGAUAUCGGACGCAGCAGUCCGUUAUCAUUUCGUAUUUUUGUUAUAACUUUUUAAUAAAGUGUUUAAAACCCUGUACUUUUUUUAUUUUUAUGAAUAAAAUAUGUUAAUAAAUUUUAACGGUGAAAAAUUGGGACACUCUGUAUAUUGUACGUGAAAGCGUGAAAAGUGGAAAAUGAAAUAAAGAAUGUUUAUUUGAUGAAAUUAAAUUGUGUCCACCUAUUCCUUCGCGGCACAAGUUGAUACUGCGUUGUGGCAUAUGAAUAUUUUACUAUAGUUUUUAAUAUUCUUACGUUUUACAUAUUUUAUACAUUUCAUUGCUUUACAUUAUCAAUUACAAUAAAUCUUCUUUUAUUACGAAAUAACAGGAAAGGAUUCGAUUAAAAAUAAUUGGUGUGAAUCAAUGAACUGUAAAAACAUAUCGCAGAUAAGACGUGUUAACCUACCCCAUAAAAAGUUAUUAUAGUGGAAAUAUCUUCGUACAAUAAUAUGAAGCAUAUUAACUGCAGCAGGACGCAAUUACUUUGUCUUCACAUAUGACGUAAUUACGUCUUAGAAUAUGACGUAAUAAGAAGUCAAACUAGUUCAAAACAUGGAGUUUCACAUGGUGGCUCCAAAUGGAUUGAAAAGACAACAUAAUUAUAUACUUCCUUUCCAUGAAAACGAAAAUGGUCGAAUCGCAACUGCUAACUUCAAUGUGUACAAUACGAACUAUGAAAUACACAAAUAAAGCUGCAAGAAUACACAUUGCAGAGAACAUCCAAAAUGUGGGACCAGUAUUAAUUUCUGUUUUA